UGGGGAAUUUUGGACAAUGGGCGAAAGCCUGAUCCAGCAAUGCCGCGUGUGUGAAGAAGGCCUUCGGGUUGUAAAGCACUUUUGUCCGGAAAGAAAUCCUUGGCUCUAAUACAGUCGGGGGAUGACGGUACCGGAAGAAUAAGCACCGGCUAACUACGUGCCAGCAGCCGCGGUAAUACGUAGGGUGCAAGCGUUAAUCGGAAUUACUGGGCGUAAAGCGUGCGCAGGCGGUUUGCUAAGACCGAUGUGAAGUCCCCGGGCUCAACCUGGGAACUGCAUUGGUGACUGGCAGGCUAGAGUAUGGCAGAGGGGGGUAGAAUUCCACGUGUANCAGUGAAAUGCGUAGAGAUGUGGAGGAAUACCGAUGGCGAAGGCAGCCCCCUGGGCCAAUACUGACGCUCAUGCACGAAAAGCGUGGGGAGCAAAACAGGAUUAGAUACCCUGGUAGUCCACGCCCUAAAACGAUGUCAACUAGUUGUUGGGGAUUCAUUUCCUUAGUAACGUAGCUAACGCGUGAAGUUGACCGCCUGGGGAGUACGGUCGCAAGAUUAAAACUCAAAUGAAUUGACGGGG
rnacentral:rRNA from 1 species